rnacentral:tRNA from 1 species
UCCCAGGUAGCUCAGCUGGUAAAGAAUCUGCCUGCAAUGCAGGAGAUUCUGGUUCAAUUCCUGGGUGGGGAA